rnacentral:rRNA from 1 species
UACGUAGGGGGCAAGCGUUGUCCGGAAUCAUUGGGCGUAAAGAGCGUGUAGGCGGCCCGAUAAGUCCGCUGUGAAAGUCCAGGGCUCAACCCUGGAAUGCCAGUGGAAACUGUCGGGCUGGAGUCCGGAAGAGGCGAGUGGAAUUCCUGGUGUAGCAGUGAAAUGCGUAGAUAUCAGGAGGAAUACCGAUGGCGAAGGCAGGUCUCUGGGCUGACACUGACGCUCAUGCACGAAAGCGUGGGGAGCAAACAGG